UCCCGUAUCGUCUAGUGGUUAGGAUAUCAGAUUUUCAAGGGUCACACACCACUUCGAAAUCUCUGACGGCCCGGGUUCAAACCCCGGUGCGGGAU